UACGUAGGGGGCUAGCGUUGUCCGGAAUCAUUGGGCGUAAAGAGCGUGUAGGCGGCCCGGUAAGUCCGCUGUAAAAGUCAAAGGCUCAACCUUUGAAUGUCAGUGGAUACUGCCGGGCUAGAGUCCGGAAGAGGCGAGUGGAACUCCUGGUGUAGCGGUGGAAUGCGCAGAUAUCAGGAAGAACACCCGUGGCGAAGGCGGCUCUCUGGGACGGUACUGACGCUGAGACACGAAAGCCAGGGGAGCGAACGGG
rnacentral:rRNA from 1 species